GUAAAAACUUUCUCACCUGUACGUCUUCUGAGACAGUCCAUGACGAGUAGGACCAGCAACCUGCGGGGCCGAGUGUGUGAGACAGGCGCGCACUCUCCUUCGCGUCAGCUUUCUAUGCGCGUGAGGGCCGGGUGAAAACCUAGAUCGGGCCAACGCUCUCCAAUCAGUCUUCUCUCCUCCCCCAAUCCCCACCUCCUCCUCUCCUCUCCAAUGGCAGCCUCCUCUCCUCCCUCAUUUCCGUUUAUUCUCUCUCCCCCUCUACAGCGGGAGUGGCGCUCGAGUGACGCGAGCCAGCGGCGGCAGGGACAUUGUGCCGAGGCGGCUGGAGGCGGGAGCCGGCGGCGGCAGGGACUGCGCGCCUACUGGCGGCGUUCGGCGCGUCGAGGACGGCCGCCGCCGCCGGGGCUGACGACCGGACGUGCGGGGACGGAUCCGCCGACCGUUUCGUGGGCAGCGACGACCGCUACCAGGCCGGCGACGCGGCGAGCCUCAUGGGAGGGUUUGUGUUGAUUUUAUUCAGCGGUGGAGGCUCGCCGGCCGGCCGACAUGCCUAGGAGAUGCGGGUCAGGCGACAGCACGGGGCUGAGGGUUUGUGGCCGGUGGUGUGAUGGAGGCCAAGAGGAGGAGCUGCAACGAUGUGAGUGGAGCAGAUAUGGAUCAAACAUGCAUAUACGGGAGAAAGAAGGUGCUCAUGAGACUCGCUGCAAUGUCAAGGUCAGAAUCUCCUGCUCCUCGCACAAUUUUUCUGCUAACUAUUCUUCCAACUGCCGAACGAAAGACACUGGGCUCUCUAAUUAUUUCUGAAUCAACCAAAUGGAUCUGGGCACUGCCAGUGCAUUCUUCUCUCCCUGCAUGAAAGCCAAAAUCAUUGGAAAUUAUCCUUUGGCGUUUGGCACAGAUUGCCUGGCUACUGGUCACCAUCUGCAGCGAUACCUCAUUCCAGCUAGCCACUUAUCAUGAGCUUCUGUUGCACAAAGAUCUGCAGAUGGAUUUUGCUUGUUCUUCUUCAGUCUCUAGGCUAUGGAGUGUCAAAACGUAUCUUGGAGAUUAUCAGCUUAAGGAAUUUAUGAACUUCAGUCCACAUUAAAUUGCGACUUGGAUAACCCAGUUAAAAGGUUCACUUCCAAUCAUUCUCUUCAAUUCUUAUCCUUUUCCUUCCAAUGAUUGAAGAAGCCAUUUUCUUAUCCUUUCAAUCUCAUGCUCCUUAUAGAUGGAUGAUAUAUGUAUCAGGUAGUAAGUUGGUUAAUAUAUUUGAGGGUUGCAGCAGGCACAAAACAAUUUGGUGCUUAGCUUCCAUAUUUUUUCCAAAAUAAUCAAUUUAACAUCUUUCAUCUGAUUAUACUAUCUUUUCUGCUUUCUUGGUGUGUGUAUUGUUAGAAGUAAUAACUUGCUUAUAUACUUGCACUAACUUUGGACAUGAUUAUACUAUCUCAUAACUUGUUGACUCUAGAGCUUUCUCUGUAAAUUAGUUAUGUAUUUGACUGGCCUAACAAUUCUUGGAUAUUCUUUGGACAUGGGAAGGAGUAUAUUAAUUUGGCCGAUGAGCAUUUAUAGAAGUUGAUAUACAGUGGCCAGCUUGAUCAGAAGGAACUGGACAGUAUGCAAAAAAAUCAUUCCUGCUGUCAGAGCUUGCACGAAAGCGAGGCCACAAAUGCAGUUCUUCUGUAAGACACUCAUUGCGAGUGAUGCAAGCACACAUGGAGGCUCCUCUGUGCCUUGCCGUGCUGCGGAGAAGAUAUCCCUGCCCUGUUUGUCUACUCAUCAGGUUUAAAUGCGAUUCAAAGAUAUAGCAGUCCAUGUGCUGACAUGGAAAAAAACUGUACGUAAGGUUUAGUUUGAAUACUAAGAGAUGUCUGGAACGGUUCUGAUCCUCUAGAGUAUAAUAUUGCUGGUAUUCAGAUCCGUUCUUGCAUAUCGAGUUCUUAAACUUACGCCUAUGUUGGGUCAAGGAGAAGCAGAUUGCGGUAUAUGAAUGAUAUUCAUGCCCUGGUGAUUUCUUAAUAUCUUUCUUUUAUUUUCACAUGCACAUACUGUCAUUUAUUAUCUCUAUGCAAAGCAUGAUGAUUUAAUCAAUAAUUAUGUCCUGGCUUAUUUUUGUUUUAUCCUUGGAGUGCUGCAGUUUGUACUCAAUGCUUGGCUUCUUUCAGAUGCUCUUAUUUCUCCUUGUAGGACAAUGGCAUGCGGGAUUAAAGUGCAUAGGAUGAUUUCCCUUGAAUAACAGACGACACGAUGCAGUACAAACUACUACAGUAGCAGCACUCAUGUUGUGACCUCUUUCAUUCUGUUUUUCCAAUUCUCUGUAUGAAUUUGUGAGGAGCUCAUGUAGUUAUGUAAAGUUUCUUUAGGGCAAAAAAUAAUUCUGUGACCUUUGAUGCCGUAUGCCUGCGGUGGAAGCUAGCACUAAUGGACAACUUUUAUACCAUAAAAAUGCAGAAGGAACUGUUAAAAAUUCAGCAAAUAUUUUUGGAAUCCCUCUCAGUUGCCUAUGGUACCGUGGUCUUUCAGCAGAACGCGUUGAUUCAUACUAUGGGUAAAUAUUUCAGGGUGAGAAGAUUCUGUUUCAUAUGCAAUUAUAACAAAAUUAUAACAACUAUUUAGUGAAUCUUCUAUAGUUUCUCUUUUGUUAUGCCCCUCCCCCCCUUGGUAAGUAUACUACCUUUGCGUUUAUCGGCUAUGUUUGUUUGUUACACAAGUCUCAUGGUUUGUGGAUCUUUUCUUUCAGAUUCCAGCGCCACAAUUGCAUUGUCUUAGCUCCUAUCAGGGUUGGAUGGUUCUGUUGGUUAUCUUCCUUGCGUGUGCAUCCACGCCAUGGUACUUUUUGUUGCUAGGACACAAUGGUAGUAUGCUUGAUCUAUAUGUAAGAGAGAGGGGAUUUGUCUUUUCAGCAAUGUAAGCUUGCAAGUUAAAGGAGCAAUGUAAGCUUGCAAGUUAAAGGAUCUUGUUUUGUAGUAUGUUCUAGGAAUCAGUUUUGGGAAGCCAAUGCUAUUUAUAAAUAAACCCAUUUAUCGACUAUGUCCAACAUUAAUUCUGUGACUCAUUACAUUAGUCUGCCAUGCUUUGAAGGUGGGCUCUAUCAUGUUAUAUACAAUAUCUCACUAAAUCACCCUUUUGCCAUUAUCGCAAGGACCACAUGUUAUCAAGGUGGGCCAUACCAUUAUUGCCAUAUCAUCCAUAUAUGAUGUGGUAAAAUCUCAAUUGCUUAAAUACGUGUUUAUCAUUGUUACAUAAUAGUGUAAGGUCAAAUAUAAUAGCUUGGAUGAUAAUUUUAUUGUUUUUAUAGAUGAACACUGAUCUGCCUGUGUCCUUAGCGCUCUACUUUGGGUUCUCAGUUAUCAUGAUGUCUAAGUAUGAUUUUAUUAUGUUCAGCCGUAUAUUUUGGAAUCAAGAAGCAUAAUGUUUUAAUUUAAGAGGGCUUCGGUGCAUGACGUGUAUUUUUGAUUACAGGGUGUCCUCAAUAAUAUCAUCCAGGCAUGCAAUUGUUUCUGCUGGUUGUGCAUUGGAAGCUCUGAAGCUUGUCUCUGCCUACAUUAUAAGUGUGUCAAAUUAUCUCCCGUUUGCCACAAAAACAAUUUGAUCAUUUCUUGUAAGCCAUAUGGUCAAAUUUGCUUCCCAAAUUUAGCCACUGAAACUAUCUUUGCUAUUGAAGACAAGAUCUACAUCUGAUUGUGAGAAAUAUCAGUUCGUGUUGCUCCUGCAAAGUAUCAACUCAGCCACACGUCCUUCUUGCUCAGUUGGCCAUGGUUGGGAGCCAGGGAGCAUCACGGCGUAUGUUCUACUGGGUAGUGGCAACACGGCAUGAGGGUACGACACUCAGGCAAUCGGUUGUACUCCUUUAUCUAUUUUGUGUUGCUCAAUAUAUUUUGUUUAAAUAUUAUAUGUUAAUAAGGCCUUGGUAUCUGUUGGUUAUUCCUUGGUUGGCCUUUCCCCUUUUCUCUUUUCCAUGUGUUGGUUUGAUUGAAACUGUAGCCUUUUUUGUAUUUUUUGAUUCAGUUCAGAUGUUAAAACAAUUACGUUACUUUCGAAAAAAUGCUGAUGUGAUGUCUCUGAAUUUCCUUUUUCAUGUGUGUUCUGCUAUCUCUACCAAAGAUUCAUGUCCGGGCACCUAUCAUGCCUGCUAUGUGAAACCAUAGGAUUUCAUAUAUUUCCCUUUACAUUUCUAUAUUGAGUACUAAGUAGCUUGUUCAAUUGAGCAUCAGGAUGUAGAUUAUCAUUUUGCGUGGUGAGCUCAAAGUAAGUAUCACCAUAUAGUUGUGAUCGUGAUAUUAUGAGCGUUGCCUUAGUAAUAGUUUUUUUUUGUCUCAGUUGCACUACACGGUACUAUAUAUAUUCAAACUUCUAUUUUUCCUUUCAGGGAUUAGAUGAGUAUGAAACAACGGAGUUGAUGCCCAUGUGUGCUUUCGCUUUACGUGUUUCAUUUCUCUUUACGUGUUGCGUUUAGGUGGGCUGCAGCUAAAGAAACUGUACUUUUUGUUCGAGGGAACUAUGUUGGUUUAAUCCGUUUAAUCAUUAUAGAUAUUGACAAAGAUAAUUGAAAUCCACAAAUGUGUGCUUUCUACGCUUCAGAAAUAUGCACAAACUUUAUGGUCUCUAAAGUUGUCAGUGCAAAAGACUACUGAAGGUAUUGUUUCUUUCUUUCUUUUCAUACCUCCAAACAUUGGUGCAGAGGAUACUGAAGUUAGAGUUUCUAUACGCAAAGAGGAAUACUCCAUUGUGUAUAAACUAUUAUAGAGCUCUUAGAUCUAAUGCAUAAACAUUUUCUAAUAGAUAUGUGGAAUUUUAAUUUGCGCCUUCGCGGCAACUUGAGAAAGAACCAGUCAAUAUGUCAGUGAUAAGUUCAUUCUCCGGAGUUGCACCUUCUUUUGUCUUUAAUUGUAGCUCACAAUCUCACAUGUUCAUGAUAUAUCAUUGCUCCUUGGUAUUAUGUUAUAUUAAUUUAAGUGUGUUGUGCAUUGUUCCAGGAGCCCCCCAAGUGUAUGAAGCAUGCAAAAAGGACAAAUGUGACCGCAGAUUAUGUUAACAGUGCUCUCAGCCUCAGGAAUGUUGAGUUUUUGUAGGUUAUGUGAAUUGUUAUGUCAAAGAAAAUAUAUCUCUGUUAAUUGCAUUGUUAAAGCCUAUUUCAUUGUGACUACCUGAAUUAAGAGGCAAUGCGAAGAAACGGGAGUUUGGCUGUUAGAGAAAGAAAGGUGGAUACCAUGUUCUGAAUGCGAGUGAGCUGUUGCAGAAACAAAGGUGGAUGCCAUGUUCUGAACGCGAGUGGGCUCUUAGUGCAACAAUGUGAAAGACUUCAAGGAAAUGGAAUUUCUGAUGCAAUCAUGUUUAAUGAAUAUAUAUUUCUAAAUUUACAUGUAUUACAGAUGCUCUGAAUCGGCAUGUUUUCCUUGCUCCUUUGUAGGAGUUUUUUUUGUUUCUUUUUCGUGUAAAGCUUGCUGCACCUCCCUCUUGUCCUGAUCAUGUAUUUUUUUGCCUUGAUUAACCCAAGGUACAUGAUGAUUGUUAUUGAUGUUUGUUACUAAUUUCUAUUAAGAUAUGAUUCCCAUCA